rnacentral:rRNA from 1 species
CGUGUAGGCGGGAAAUUAAGUCAGGUGUGAAAUCCAUGGGCUCAACUCAUGAACUGCACUUGAUACUGGUUUUCUUGAGUUCGGGAGAGGAGAGCGGAAUUCCCGGUGUAGCGGUGAAAUGCGUAGAUAUCGGGAAGAACACCAGUGGCGAAGGCGGCUCUCUGGCCUAGAACUGACGCUAAGGCGCGAAAGCGUAGGGGAGCGGAACG